GAUGAACGCUGGCGGCGUGCCUAACACAUGCAAGUCGAGCGAUUUACUUCGGUAAAGAGCGGCGGACGGGUGAGUAACGCGUGGGUAACCUGCCCUGUACACACGGAUAACAUACCGAAAGGUAUGCUAAUACGAGAUAAUAUGCUUUUAUCGCAUGGUAGAAGUAUCAAAGCUUUUGCGGUACAGGAUGGACCCGCGUCUGAUUAGCUAGUUGGUAAGGUAACGGCUUACCAAGGCGACGAUCAGUAGCCGACCUGAGAGGGUGAUCGGCCACAUUGGAAACUGAGACACGGUCCAAACUCCUACGGGAGGCAGCAGUGGGGAAUAUUGCACAAUGGGCGAAAGCCUGAUGCAGCAACGCCGCGUGAGCGAUGAAGGCCUUCGGGUCGUAAAGCUCUGUCCUCAAAGAAGAUAAUGACGGUACUUGAGGAGGAAGCCCCGGCUAACUACGUG
rnacentral:rRNA from 1 species